rnacentral:rRNA from 1 species
UACGGGAGGCAGCAGUGAGGAAUAUUGGUCAAUGGACGAGAGUCUGAACCAGCCAAGUAGCGUGCAGGAUGACGGCCCUAUGGGUUGUAAACUGCUUUUAUAAGGGAAUAAAGUUAGUCUCGUGAGACUUUUUGCAUGUACCUUAUGAAUAAGGAUCGGCUAACUCCGUGCCAGCAGCCGCGGUAAUACGGAGGAUCCGAGCGUUAUCCGGAUUUAUUGGGUUUAAAGGGAGCGUAGGCGGAUUGUUAAGUCAGUUGUGAAAGUUUGCGGCUCAACCGUAAAAUUGCAGUUGAUACUGGCAGUCUUGAGUGCAGUAGAGGUGGGCGGAAUUCGUGGUGUAGCGGUGAAAUGCUUAGAUAUCACGAAGAACUCCGAUUGCGAAGGCAGCUCACUGGAGUGUAACUGACGCUGAUGCUCGAAAGUGUGGGUAUCAAACAGGAUUAGAUACCCUGGUAGUCCACACAGUAAACGAUGAAUACUCGCUGUUUGCGAUAUACAGUAAGCGGCCAAGCGAAAGCAUUAAGUAUUCCACCUGGGGAGUACGCCGGCAACGG